AAAUGCGAUAAGUAAUGUGAAUUGCAGAAUUCAGUGAAUCAUCGAAUCUUUGAACGCACCUUGCGCUCCUUGGUAUUCCUUGGAGCAUGCCUGUUUGAGUAUCAUGAAAUCUUCAAAGUAAAUCUUUUGUUAACUCAAUUGGUUUCUACUUUGGUAUUGGAGGUCUUUGCAGCUUCACACCUGCUCCUCUUUGUUCAUUAGCUGGAUCUCAGUGUUAUGCUUGGUUCCACUCUGCGUGAUAAGUUAUCUAUCGCUGAGGACACUGUAAAAGGUGGCCAAGGUAAAUGCAGAUGAACCGCUUCUAAUAGUCCAUUGACUUGGACAAUACUUUUAUGAUCUGAUCUCAAAUCAGGUAGGCCUACCCGCUGAACUUAAGC
rnacentral:misc_RNA from 1 species